UACGUAGGGCAGCGAGCGUUGUUCGGAGUUACUGGGCGUAAAGGGUGCGUGAGGCGGUUGUUUAAGUUUGGUGUGAAAUCUCCCGGCUCAACUGGGGAGGGUGCGCCGAAUACUGAAUGACUAGAGUGCGGGAGAGGAUAGUGGAAUUCCUGGUGUAGCGGUAGAAAUGCGUAGAUAUCAGGAGGAACACCGGUGGUGUAGAUCGGCUAUCUGGACCGUAACUGACGCUGAGGCA
rnacentral:rRNA from 1 species